rnacentral:rRNA from 1 species
AGAUUGAACGCUGGCGGCAGGCCUAACACAUGCAAGUCGAGCGGCAGCACGGGUACUUGUACCUGGUGGCGAGCGGCGGACGGGUGAGUAAUGCCUAGGAAUCUGCCUGGUAGUGGGGGAUAACGCUCGGAAACGGACGCUAAUACCGCAUACGUCCUACGGGAGAAAGCAGGGGACCUUCGGGCCGUCGC